UAUGCGGCAGUGGGUGCUGCGGAGUUCGCCCGUUUCCUCCCCGACACAAUGCCCCAGCUGCGCAUCCAGGCUGCUCAAACGUUGUCUAUGUUUGGCAGCACAUACCUGUGUGAACAACUGUUUUCUUUGAUGAACUUGAACAAAACAUCACACAGAAGUCGACUUACUGCUGAACACCUCCACUCAAUUCUGAGGAUUUCCUCAGCUCAGAGCCUUACCCCGAACAUUGAUGAACUUGUGGAAAAGAUGGGACACCACCAAGUAUCACCCUCAACCUCAAACAAGUGAACAUUACUGUGCAAUCACAUAUUUAGAGUUUUUACUCAGUUCAAGUUUAAAAGUUAAAGUUUAAUAUUUGUUUUCACUGCAUGUUACUUCUCCUUAAACAAAGUGUUGUUUUUGAUUAAUAGAUUUUUGCACUUUAUUUUAUUGUAUUUCAAUCCAAUUAUAUUUUAAAAAUAUUUCAGUUGAGUGGAUGAUAGAAAAUUGCUAUUAUUGUUUUUUUCUUUGAAGUAAAUUUAGCCCACUUUUGCUAAAAUAGAAAAUAUAGGCUACUGAUGGUGCCUUGAAUACCGGUUUCUUUCAUUUAAUGUUCAUGUUAUGGGGAUUUUUAUAUAAAGGAAAUUUGUCUUUUGUGUCUGUUGAAAAUUAAAGAUUACUGACAGAGCCAUAAGAAAAUAUUGCUUUAUUUAUCUGAUCAUAUUGGAAUAUAUUUGUUAGGUUUUCAGUAGGUUCAAUUAGGUUCACUAGACUAUAUGCGUCAUUUAAAAAAAUUUCAAUGAACAUUCGAACAGUCCGGCCCUCGGCUUGUAGCUAAAUUUUUUAUUUGGCCCUCCGUCCAUUUGACUUUGACACCCCUGCUCUAGAGUGUGUUGACCAGGUGAAAGAGAUGCGAGGGUUCAGUGACUCACGGAAGGAUGAGUACUUCAUCAAGAGAAUGACUGAUCCAAACCAGGCCAGAAGAAUCCUCACACACAUGAAGUCAUCAAGAAUAUUUGAAGAAUAUCAUCAAGAACAUCAUGUGCCAUAUUCCAGUAUGCUGUUGGAUUUCAUCCUCUGUUCUGAAGAAUCUGGUAGUUGAAGCAGAGAGUGGAAAGAUGCCCAAAACGCUGACUCAAAUGUGUACACAUUUCCUUAUGUUUCAGACCACACGGAUGAAUCUGAAGUAUGCUAUAGAACAAGAGAUGGAACCCCCAUUAAAUCAGAUAAUUCUGGGAUUGGGGAAGGUAGCCUUUCAACAGCUGCAAAAGGGCAACCUGAUCUUCUAAGAGGAAGACCUGAGAGAGUAGGGCAUCGAUGUUGAAGUGUCAGUGUACUUCAGAAUGUGUGCACAGGUCUUCAGAGAGGAGUGUGGGCUGUACCAGAGAAAGGUGUACUGCUUUGUGCCUCUGAGCAUCCAGGAGUGUCUGACUGCUCUGUAUGUCUUUCUCAUGUUCAACAAUGUAAAUCUGAUGGCAGAACAGGAAACCACACCCAAUGACCCUCUGACGUCUAAUGAAUUCUCUACAACCUCCAUAAGAGUGCAGUAGAUAAGGCUCUGAAGAGUGAGAAUUGACACCUGGACCUCCAUAAGAGUGCAGUAGAUAAGGCUCUGAAGAGUGAGAAUUGACACCUGGACCUCCAUAAGAGUGCAGUAGAUAAGGCUCUGAAGAGUGAGAAUUGACACCUGGACCUCUUCCUCAGCUUCCUUCUCAGCCUCUCUCUGGAGUCCAAUCAGACUCUGUUAAGAGGUCUACCAACACAGACAAGAAGCAGCUCACAGAGCCAUAAGGAAACAGUAGAAUACAUCAAGGAGAACCCCUCUCCAGAGAAGUGCAUCAGCCUGUACCACUGUCGGAAUGAGCUGAAUGAGGAGAUCCAAAGGCACCUGGGAUCGGGAAUUCUCUCUAAGGCCAAACAUUCACCUGCAGAGUGUUCAGCUCUGGUCUUUGUGUUGCUGACCUCAGAGAUGCUGGAUAUUUUCGACCUGAGAAAAUACUCUGGUUCAGAGGGUCUGCUGAGGAUGCUGCCAGUGGUCAAAGCCUCCAGAGUAGUGCUCCUAUCCCAGCAAACCCGGACCAAUUGUGCACCACCCUAUGGGACUCCCAAUCACAGCCGGAUGUGAUUCAGUCUGGAUUUGAAUCUGGGACUGUAGUGACGCCUCUUGCACUGAGAGAGCUAAAUCUGGACUACAGUCACAUAGGAGACUCAGGAGUGAAGAUUCUCUCUGCUGCACUGGAGCAUCCAGACUGUAAUGUAAAACUCAGUCUGAACAAUAAUGCAGAGUACUGGUUAAAGUCUGGCCUGAAGAAAUGUAGAUGCCUAUGAGCUGACACUGGACCCAAACACAGCCCACAGACGCCUCUCCAUCUGAGGGGAACAUAACAGAGCCGGGAGACAGAGGAGAAACCGUAUCCUGAUCACCCAGACAGAUUUCAAUGCUGGUCACAGGUUUUGUCUAGACAGAGGAGCAACCAUAUCCAGAUUAGAGUUGCUGUUAUCCAAUACAUGUAUGAUAUAGGCUACUGCACAGUACGCACGACAGACAAACAUAAAAGCCCAUAGAUGUAGCUAGCUAUAUGCUCUCUUAGGUAAAUAAAUGAAACUAGUGUGAACUGUAUUACUGUACUGCAUUAUACUGUAUUAUAUGGGCUGGAAUUACGCACAUUGUUCAAACCACGAUAAAGCAGAAGAGAACAUGCGAUUCGUGUGCAGCACAUGCGGCCUACAAAGUUACAAGUAUAGGCUAAAGAAUUUGAUUUAAAGUUUGAAAUAUAGUAUGGCUUAUUUGUAUACUUAGUAUGCUGUCGCAUAUAUACCUUUCAUAAUAUUCCCCUAAUGUUAUUAGCCUACUUCCUCUUUCUCUAUUGUUGCUUCAUUCCUUCCUCGCUUUCAACAGUUCAAUUAAAUACUUUUCGUUGUCCUUAUCUUCAUCAUUCUAAUGACAUCCAUUAAUAAUAUUGGACUAGAAUUAGAAACGGAAUGCUUUCACUUCUCUUCACGAAGAUUGAAUGGUAAUGAGUCCGAAUAAAUAACUGAUAUAGCCUACCGCUAUCGCGCCCAUUUGCUCUUCUUUCAAACGACCCGUGAGUUCUAUUGGCUGCUGUAUUUAGCAAUCAUAAACAUAUAAUGCCCAGCAAUGUAUUUUAGUCUAGUUUUUCCUGCAUGGGAUUGGAAGGGCUAAAGAGCGUUUUUUAAGGAGAGGUCAGCGGAGCACAGGUGUGUGCGUACUGUAAAUAACACUCUUACUAUGCAUAACCCAUUAUUAAUUAGCUAAAUAUAAGGCUAUUACGGCAUUGAAUGUAUUACCUGAAAGAGGUAGGCUAGGACAUCUCUGUAUAGGGCUAUAUAUUAAUCUAGAACAAGGUGAUCUAUUUUGGAUGCAAUUUGAAUGGAGUUGAUAGAGAGAACAAGACUGCGAGAGAGUGUUCGCGCGUGCACUGAUACAAUGCAAUGAUGUUUGAGUGAUAGGAUGUUUUAAAACUGCAGCUGCAAUUGAAAAAAAGUAUAAUCUUUCAAAAUAAAAAAACAAGGUGACGCCCGAAAGCCAUAUGGAGAUGGGUAAAUUAGACGGGCAUUCGCUCUAGACGGGCAUUCGCUCUUUAUAUUACUAUAUUACUUGCUAUGCUGCAACAACUGUACCUGUCACAAGAAAACACGUUGCCAUGAUGAAAUGACAGUUCGACAUGCAUUGUGAACAGCGCUCCAUACUGAGAUAGGAUGUCUGUCCCCACCUUCAGUGUUGAUUCAUCAUACAGACGCCGUAGAGAAGACCGAUUUAGACAUUGCACAUCAUUUAACAGUUCCAUUUCACGCGAUGCUGUUCAUAUAAAUGAUUUAUUAUAAUUUACUGGUUUCUCACAGUUAUUUAUCCUUGGAAAGGGGAGUGGUUUUGGGGCAGUAAAUCUCGGUAACCGGGCUCCAGCCAUUCAACCCUAAUCCUGUUCACCUAGACAGAUUUCAACGCAGGCUAAAGAUUUAGUGUAGUCCACAGGUUUUUCAUAUUGGGUUUUGUUAUUGGGAGGUAGAGUGGCAUGGGACAGAAAUCCUAGGAAUCACCAGGGGCCAACUGUCACUGGGGAGGGGGGGACUGGAACGUGAUAAAAACAACCGAGGCAAUGGUGUGGUUUAGGAGUGUCCUCUGGUAUAUUUACCCACCUGUGGACUUUAAAAACAGAUCCACUGAGUCCCUCUACCCAGGGGUGUGGGUUUCUGUGGACUCCAUACUAGUGUCCUGUAACCUGGCAAAACACCAUAGUCCUCAAGGGAUCUGUGAACAUUUGAAAUGUUUUAAACGUUGCAACAUCAAUUCAUGUCAUCUCCUCAAUUCAUCUGAUUAUAUUCCAAAAUCAUGUGAUACUAGUGAUGCACCAUAUGGCAGGUAUAAGAAAGGUGGCUUUUCUCACAGCUCCAAAAUAGGUUAUCCAACAUUGUUAUCCAAUAUAUCACAGUUCAGUUUCCUCUCUUAACUCUCAACUCAAAAGUGUGCAUGUGUAACGGAUGUGAAACGGCUAGCUUAGUUAGCAGUGCGCGCUAAAUAGCGUUUCAAUCGGUUACGUCACUUGCUCUGAGACCUUGAAGUAGUAGUUCCCCUUGCUCUGCAAGGGCCGCGGCUUUUGUGGAGCGAUGGGUAAUGAUGCUUCGAGGGUGACUGUUGUCGAUGUGUGCAGAGUUCGCGCCCGGGUAUGGGUGAGGGGACGGACGUAAAGUUAUUCUGUUACACAUGCAGUAUCUAACAACUAUAUAAUCACUCUGUCCAGCCUUAUCUUCUCUCCACUGCCACAGAGAAGAGCUCCCUCUGUCCUCAAUCUGCUGAUACCCCCUCCAGUUUGUCAGAGAUCCCCUGCUUACAGCCCAGGAGAGCAACCUCAGGCUGGGAAACGUACCAGGCCUGUCAGAGCCUGAACAGAAUGCUAUAGAACAGGUUUACAUUCUUCAUUAUUGUAUUCAUGACGUUACUCUGAGGACUAUGUCCCGUGAAUCUGUGGGGAAGUGUUGUAAUCCAUACAUUUGUAACAGUGUAAAUAAUCUAUAAAAGUAUUAGAUUUGAUUGUAGUACGCCUUGAUCUUAUAGCCAUUAAUUCUUGAGUGAUUUACACAGAUGUACACAAUAGACAAGUACAGGUUUUAUGGUGUUGGUAGCAUGCUGUACUACAGUACUUAUCUUACGAAAGACAUUCAUAAAGCUAACACUAAAUAUAUUUAUGAAGAUUUGUACCAUAUUUCUAAAGUGUGUUGUCUCUUCCUCUCUAUCACUAAAAGGAGGUGUAGCGUGGCGUAAUGCAGUACCAGUGAUGUUCUGUACACUGUAUCUGGUUCUAUCUUACUAAAUCACUUCCUGA